rnacentral:lncRNA from 1 species
GUUGUGUGUUUUAUACUGCUGGUGUACAAUCUGUUAUGUUCUGAAGUAAUUUGUUGUUGUGUGCUUUAUAUGUCUUAUGUACAAUUUGUUCUGUUCUGAAGUAACUUGUAGUUGUGUGUUUUUAUACUGCUUAUGUACAAUUUGUUAUGUUCUGAAGUAACUUGUAGUUGUGUGUUUUAUACUGCUGGUGUACAAUUCGUUAUGUUCAGAAGUAACUUGUAGUUGUGUGUUUUAUAUUUCUUAUGUACAAUUUAUUCUGUUCUGAAGUAACUUGUAGUUGUGUGUUUUAUACUACUGGUGUACAAUCUGUUCUGUUCUUAGGUAACUUGUAGUUGUGUGUUUUAUAUUUCUUAUGUACAGUUUAUUCUGUUCUGAAGUAACUUGUAGUUGUGUGUUUUAUACUGCUGGUGUACAAUCUGUUAUGUUCUGAAGUAAUUUGUAGUUGUGUGUUUUUUACUGCUUAUGUACAAUGUGUUCUGUUCUGAAGUAACUUGUAGUUGCGUGUUUUAUAUUACUGGUGUACAAUUUGUUAUGUUCUGAAGUAAUUUGUAGUUGUGUGUUUUAUAUUUCAUAUGUACAAUUUGUUUUGUUCUGAAGUAACUUGUAGUUGUGUUUUAUACUGCUGGUGUACAAUCUGUUAUGUUCUGAAGUAA